ensembl:lncRNA
ACAUCCUGACAUGAGGAAAAAGACUUUAUUGAAGACUACAAUGAGAAAAACUAUCAGACAGCAGAUGGCUGCAUUCAAGUCUGUAGCUGCUGAAUUCAUGGAUGAAUCAUCUGGCACUAGAGAGGAAGACCAUCAAACAUCCACGUCAGCUGAUGGAGGUCCAAGAGUCUCACCGAACAACCAACCUACAGAGUGAAGACCUCAAAUCUGAUUGGACGGCCUCCUAUUCAGCCAUGUGUGAACAAAUGCCUCUAAGUUGAUUUGUUUUCUAAAAUAAAUCUAGUUUGAGUCCUAAUCUAUGUCUGUGUGUUUGCUUCUUUACACCGCUGUUAACAGUUUAGGCUGUUAGAUUGUUCCAGAUAAGACAAGAUUCUUCAGAGCCGUUCUACCAUGAGCCUGACAGGAAGAACUCCAACAGCUACUGAAUGUUCCUGUGGUUCCCUCAAG